UAUUGUAUAAAAGAGCCCGUUUAAAAUAUAUUGAAAAUACAUCUCGGACGAGUGGAAUGAGAUGAAAAAAAAAAAAAAAAAAACAUAAUAAACUAGAAUAUUAUUAUUACACGGGCGUAGAAUUUUUCCGUGCACACUGGCAAAGGCAAUUUAAAAAAUAAAUGACGAUUAUUUUUAGCGACCCGUACGUUUUCGUACAAAAGUAAUUCGAAUCCCAGAGUGGGCGAAGUUGUCCUGUCUCGCACCCGAUCGAGAAGCCCCGUGUAUAAUCGUCUCAUGCAUACCAUUCGAAACAUUAGAAUAAUAUAUUACUAUGUGUUACGAUAUUCGUGAUUUUUCAAAUUUUAUAAAUACAUAUAAAUAUAUA